rnacentral:rRNA from 1 species
GAUGAACGCUAGCUACAGGCUUAACACAUGCAAGUCGAGGGGCAGCACAGUGUAGCAAUACAUGGGUGGCGACCGGCGCACGGGUGCGUAACGCGUAUCCAACCUUCCCGAUAUUCAGGGAUAGCCUUCCGAAAGGGAGAUUAAUACCUGAUGGUGUUCAAAUUCCGCAUGUUAUUUGAACUAAAGAUUUAUCGGUAUCGGAUGGGGAUGCGUGACAUUAGAUAGUAGGCGGGGUAACGGCCCACCUAGUCUACGAUGUCUAGGGGUUCUGAAAGGAAGGUCCCCCACACUGGAACGGAGAAACGGUCCAGACUACUACGGGAGGAAGCAGUGGGGAAUAUUGGUCAACGGUCGGAAGACUGAACCAGCCAAGUAGCGUGAAGGAUGAAGGUUCUAUGGAUUGUAAACUUCUUUUAUACGGGAAUAAAACCUCCCACGUGUGGGAGCUUGUAUGUACCGUAUGAAUAAGCAUCGGCUAACUCCGUGCCAGCAGCCGCCGUAAUAC